GUUUUUCACUGUAACCUGGGAAACGUGAAUUAGAGAUGGUAACCUUGUGUGGUUUCAUGGUAGAGAGUGGAAACUGCUUAUGGUCUAUAGGAAUCAUAGCCAUUCUUUAGAAAAGAGGUUAAGCCAAUAUUGUGCUAAAGGACCAGGGUACUGGAAUAAAUCCAUGAUUUACUGGAGUUUAGAGCCUUAUAACUUCAGUACACAAGUCUGUCCCUGACGAUGUAUGUGUUCUUAAAGAUGGAUGCUUAUUUGCAACUCUCCUCACUUCUUUUUCUGAGCUCUCAGCAGGAUGGCCUUUAAUGUCUACGUUUCUACCAACAGUCUUUUUAAGCUGAUUGUGUUGGUGCUGUCAAGUCUUCAGUUAGCAAACUAUGAAGAAGCAAGAGGACCUCUUUGCAAACUCUAAUUCCUAAACAAAGGCCUUGUAUAAAAAGAAAGCUCAAUGCUCUUCUGUUACUGAGAACAUUGGUAGUCAAAACUAUUUCCAUGAUGUCAGUUCAGCUCCAUGUAAAGCAAAACAUUUAAUUAAUUACAUAAAAAAGUUUCUUUUCCCAUAUAGAUAUCCCUCAUUUCAGGACUGAAGGUGUAUGGUGAAACUUCACUUUGUGUUUUGCAAUCACCAAAAACUUUUGAGUACCCUUUCUACAUUUAUGGAAAGAAUGAUCUGUCCCCAUGUGUUCUGAAAUACACACCAGAAAGUACUUUUAGCCUUCUCUUGUACUAGAUCAUAAGCACUGUGGCCUGGCUCCUUUUAUCAGGCUGAUGGGUAAGAUUUUGAUUUAGAAGUAAGACGAGUUCAUUCCAGCAAGGGUAGGGUCAGAGACCUGUCUUUCAACUCAGCAAUGACAGAGGCAGAAUUGGUGCUAUUUGAUCCCAGGCCUGAUUGCUGCUCUCAAUAGCUGCAGCAAAAAUGUCUUUGGGGUUGCAGUGGAGUAUUCUUGGAUGGUCAGGGGUAAAGCCUAAUCUUAUGUCUUCCUGGAGAUAAGGUAGACUACAUAACAUCUUUCAAUGUUUCUUUUUCCCUUAAACUAGAUCAGAUCUUAUUGCUUGUAACUAAGUACUGGAUAGAGUAAAUGGACAUGGAGUCAUCAAAUACAUCAUUCUCAUUGUGCCUGGCAAAAUGUAAUGU